rnacentral:rRNA from 1 species
UAGGGAAUCUUCCGCAAUGGUCGAAAGUCUGACGGAGCAACGCCGCGUGAGUGAUGAAGGUUUUCGGAUCGUAAAGCUCUGUUGUUAGGGAAGAACAAGUGCCGUUCAAAUAGGGCGGCACCUUGACGGUACCUAACCAGAAAGCCACGGCUAACUACGUGCCAGCAGCCGCGGUAAUACGUAGGUGGCAAGCGUUGUCCGGAAUUAUUGGGCGUAAAGGGCUCGCAGGCGGUUUCUUAAGUCUGAUGUGAAAGCCCCCGGCUCAACCGGGGAGGGUCAUUGGAAACUGGGGAACUUGAGUGCAGAAGAGGAGAGUGGAAUUCCACGUGUAGCGGUGAAAUGCGUAGAGAUGUGGAGGAACACCAGUGGCGAAGGCGACUCUCUGGUCUGUAACUGACGCUGAGGAGCGAAAGCGUGGGGAGCGAACA